rnacentral:rRNA from 1 species
GGCGAACGCUGGCGGCGUGCUUAACACAUGCAGGUCGAACGGAAAGGCCCUGCUUUUGUGGGGUGCUCGAGUGGCGAACGGGUGAGUAACACGUGAGUAACCUGCCCUUGACUUUGGGAUAACUUCAGGAAACUGGGGCUAAUACCGGAUAGGAGCUCCUGCUGCAUGGUGGGGGUUGGAAAGUUUCGGCGGUUGGGGAUGGACUCGCGGCUUAUCAGCUUGUUGGUGGGGUAGUGGCUUACCAAGGCUUUGACGGGUAGCCGGCCUGAGAGGGUGACCGGCCACAUUGGGACUGAGAUACGGCCCAGACUCCUACGGGAGGCAGCAGUGGGGAAUAUUGCACAAUGGGCGGAAGCCUGAUGCAGCAACGCCGCGUGCGGGAUGACGGCCUUCGGGUUGUAAACCGCUUUCGCCUGUGACGAAGCGUGAGUGACGGUAAUGGGUAAAGAAGCACCGGCUAACUACGUG